rnacentral:rRNA from 1 species
AACGUAGGAGACAAACGUUAUCCGGAAUUACUGGGCGUAAAGGGCGCGUAGGCGGCCUGCUAAGUCGAACGUGAAAUCCCCGAGCUCAACUCGGGAACUGCGUCCGAUACUGGCAGGCUUGAAUCCGGGAGAGGGAUGCGGAAUUCCAGGUGUAGCGGUGAAAUGCGUAGAUAUCGGAAAGAACACCAACGGCGAAAGCACUCUGCUGGGCCGACACUGACACUGAGAGACGAAAGCUAGGGGAGCGAAUGGG